GAUGAAGAACGCAGCGAAAUGCGAUACGUAAUGUGAAUUGCAGAAUUCAGUGAAUCAUCGAAUCUUUGAACGCACAUUGCACUCUCUGGUAUUCCGGAGAGUAUGCUUGUUUGAGUAUCAGUAAACACCUCAAAUCUCUUGUUUCUUGUGAAUAAGAGAAUUGGACUUGAGCAAUCCCAACUCUUGCAAAAGAGGCGGGUUGCUUGAAAUGCAGGUGCAGCUGGACAUUCUUCUGAGCUAAAAGCAUAUUUAUUUAGUCCCGUAAAACGGAUUAUUACUUUUGCUGCAGCUAACAUAAAGGUUGAAUGGCCAAUAUGGCUGACUGAUGCAGGAUUAACAGAGAAUUUAUUCUUUGUAACCUCGAUCUCAAAUCAAGUAAGACUACCCGCUGAACUUAAGCAUAUCAAUAAGCGGAGGA
rnacentral:misc_RNA from 1 species